rnacentral:rRNA from 1 species
AUUGAACGCUGGCGGCAUGCCUUACACAUGCAAGUCGAACGGCAGCACGGGGCAACCUGGUGGCGAGUGGCGAACGGGUGAGUAAUGCAUCGGAACGUACCUUUCAGUGGGGGAUAACGUAGCGAAAGUCACGCUAAUACCGCAUAUUCUGUGAGCAGGAAAGCAGGGGAUCGCAAGACCUUGCGCUGAUUGAGCGGCCGAUGUCAGAUUAGCUAGUUGGUGAGGUAAAGGCUCACCAAGGCGACGAUCUGUAGCGGGUCUGAGAGGAUGAUCCGCCACACUGGAACUGAGACACGGUCCAGACUCCUACGGGAGGCAGCAGGGGGGAAUUUUGGACAAUGGGGGCAACCCUGAUCCAGCCAUGCCGCGUGAGUGAAGAAGGCCUUCGGGUUGUAAAGCUCUUUCGGCCGGGAAGAAAUCGCACGGGCUAAUACCCUGCGUGGAUGACGGUACCGGAAUAAGAAGCACCGGCUAACUACGUGCCAGCCGCCGCCGUAACAC